UACGGGGGGGGCAAGCGUUGUUCGGAAUUACUGGGCGUAAAGGGCUCGUAGGUGGCCAACUAAGUCGGACGUGAAAUCCCUCGGCUUAACCGGGGAACUGCGUCCGAUACUGGAUGGCUUGAGUUUGGGAGAGGGAUGCGGAAUUCCAGGUGUAGCGGUGAAAUGCGUAGAUAUCUGGAGGAAGACCAGUGGCGAAGGCGGGUCUCUGGACAGUUCCUGACACUGAGGCACGAAGGCCAGGGGAGCAAACGGG
rnacentral:rRNA from 1 species